GUAGCACCUGCCGAAGCCUCCCGCGGCGACUCUAAAGAAACUGCGCAGUCUGCCCCCCUGCAGGCAACACUGUCAUUGUGCUGGGAGCCUGUCACGCCUCCUUCGGGCGCCGCUACCAGCAACCUGGGCAACAACGCCCAGGCUCACAGAUCAGAUGAUCGUGGCCACACUGUGGUUAAGAUAUGACCGGUCCCCGCUGUUUCCAGCUGGGAGCUUACGUUCCGUAGGUGAACCUGCGGAAGGAUCAUUACAGAGUUAGGGUCUUCCGGGCCUGAUCUCCAACCCUAUGUCUACCUGCCUUUGUUGCUUUGGCGGGCCCGCUGGGGAGACCCACCGGUGGCUCCGGCUGCCGAGCGCCCGUCAGAGACCCAUCAAACCCUGUUAACCGUGUAGUCUGAGUACCAAUACAAUAGUUAAAACUUUCAACAACGGAUCUCUUGGUUCUGGCAUCGAUGAAGAACGCAGCGAAAUGCGAUAAGUAAUGUGAAUUGCAGAAUUCAGUGAAUCAUCGAAUCUUUGAACGCACAUUGCGCCCUUUGGUAUUCCGAGGGGCAUGCCUGUUCGAGCGUCAUUACACCACUCAAGCACAGCUUGGUAUUGGGCCUCGUCCUUCGCGGACGUGCCUGGAAACCAGUGGCGGCGCAGCCCGGCUUCAAGCGUAGUAACUUAACCGCCGCUUUGGAAGUCUCGGGCCUGGGUCUGCCGGACAACCCUCAUCUUACUAAAAGGUUGACCUCGGAUCAGGUAGGGAUACCCGCUGAACUUAAGCAUAUCAAUAAGCGGAGGAAAAGAAACCAACAGGGAUUGCCUCAGUAACGGCGAGUGAAGCGGCAACAGCUCAAAUUUGAAAUCUGGCCCUUUCAGGGUCCGAGUUGUAAUUUGUAGAGGAUGCUUCGGGUACGGCUCCGGUCUAAGUUCCUUGGAACAGGACGUCAUAGAGGGUGAGAAUCCCGUACGUGACCGGCCUCCACGCCCGUGUGAAGCUCCUUCGACGAGUCGAGUUGUUUGGGAAUGCAGCUCAAAAUGGGUGGUAAAUUUCAUCUAAAGCUAAAUACCGGCCAGAGACCGAUAGCGCACAAGUAGAGUGAUCGAAAGAUGAAAAGCACUUUGGAAAGAGAGUUAAAAAGUACGUGAAAUUGUUGAAAGGGAAGCGCUUGCAAUCAGACUUGCCCGCAGGUGAUCAGCCGGUAUUCUUACCGGUGCACUCGCCCGCGGUCAGGCCAGCAUCGGUUUGGGCGGUUGGAUAAAGGCCCACGGAACGUAGCUCCCCUCGGGGAGUGUUAUAGCCGGGGGUGCAAUGCAGCCUGCCCGGACCGAGGACCGCGCU
rnacentral:sRNA from 1 species